rnacentral:rRNA from 1 species
CUACGGGUGGCAGCAGUGGGGAAUAUUGGACAAUGGGCGCAAGCCUGAUCCAGCAAUGCCGCGUGAGUGAAGACGGCCUUAGGGUUGUAAAACUCUUUCGCUAGGGAAGAUAAUGACUGUACCUAGUAAAGAAGUCCCGGCUAACUCCGUGCCAGCAGCCGCGGUAAUACGGAGGGGACUAGCGUUGUUCGGAAUUACUGGGCGUAAAGAGUUCGUAGGCGGACUGACAAGUUAGAGGUGAAAUCCCAGGGCUCAACCCUGGAACUGCCUUUAAAACUGUCAGUCUAGAGACCGGAAGAGGUUAGGGGAAUACCUAGUGUAGAGGUGAAAUUCGUAGAUAUUAGGUGGAACACCAGUGGCGAAGGCGCCUAACUGGUCCGGUACUGACGCUGAGGAACGAAAGCGUGGGGAGCAAACAGGAUUAGAUACCCUCGUAGUC